rnacentral:lncRNA from 1 species
GAUUAAUACAGAGUCAACUCUUCAAGCCAGAACAAAAAAUUAAGAAUAGAGUUGCUUCUUCACCACAAUACUCUAUCGCCAAAAAUAGAACUAGAAGAGAAAUUAAACCUCCAAAGAAGUAUGCCGAGGUUGAUCUAGUUGCUUAUGCUUUAAAUGUGGCUGAAGAUAUAGAUGCGAAUCAAGAGCCAUCUAAUUAUUCUGAGGCGGUUAGCUGUGAAGACUCAAAAAAGUGGAUGUUUUCUAUGUAAGAAGAGAUGGAAUCACUCCAUAAAAACAGAACAUGGGACCUUGUGAAACUUUGUAGCACCCCAAACCCGGCCCAGAAGUUAUGGCCGGAUCCGGCAUGCCACAUCAAAAACGUAAAAAAAAAAAUUCCAUUCUAAGUCCAGAAAAUCGUACUUGAUGUUCAAAAGAUUAAUUCAUUAAAGGUUAAAGUGAAUGGAAGCUGUGCACCAGGUAGGAAACCGAAAAAGAGGUGGUGAGUCCAUCGAACUGCUUAAGUACCAAGCUCCCUUUGGAUCCAAUCCUAGACAUGCAUACCGCCAUUGCCACACCUUAACGUCAUGGAUAUUUCUAGGAAACCGAUUUGAUUAAGUCAUUUUUAGGAAAAGUGAUUAAUUUUGGAAAAUACUUUCAUUGCGGAAGCUUUGCUUGUUGUCGUGUUAUUUUGAAAUCAAUUGUUGUUUUUGAAAACGCGCUCUAAAGCUAUCCAAUUUCAACAGUUAAAUAUAAGUAAUACCUAUCUUAGUAAUACAUAUUAAAAACCAUCAAAAAUAAUUAAGCGGCCUUAUUACAUUUAAAAACCCAAAACUUCAAAUGUAAAUAAAAGGAUGUCCAGUUCACCAGAAGAAAAUCAAACUUUCAGAACGGGUGGCCACUCCGAAUUCCCUCAUAGCUCCAAGCCCACUAUGGUUGGGGAUUACCUGCGUGGAUGAAAAUAAAAGGGGUGAGUUUGGGGAAACUCAGUGUGUAAAAUAACCCAACCAUAGUCUAAAUCAGCUCAACCCACAGAAACAUAAUAAGUUGGUCUUAGCCCAGAACAGAAUUCAGAAUAAAGCCCAUAGGCCCAUAGCAGAAUAGAACAGAUAUUACAUGUUUAUGCAGAAACCCAACCAUAUCCAACCGUAUACACCCCCAUACCAACCUUACACCGUGUGGGGAGACAACUCGACCCACCCAACCGCUACACACCACAGAAUUUGCAGCAUGGCUGCCAGAACAGAUAAUGUGACAGAGUCACCAGAUACAGAUAAUCGUGGCAGAGCCACCAGAACAGAUAUAUGUGGUAGAGCCACCAGAUCAGAUAUUUGUGGCAGAGCCACCAGAUCAGAUAUUUGUGGCAUAGCCACCAGAACGCUUCCUCCAUAAUAUAACCCAUGUCCCCAUGCAACAGAUAUAUAAUCAUGGCAUACAUCAUACAGAAUCAGAUCGUCAUGCUUUUCAGUCAAAAUUAACCCUACGGGUAUAACGGUAAUUUUGCACCUAGGGGUAUAACAGUAAGUUUCCAUACAUAGGGGUAUUAUAGUAAUUUAGCUACUUUUAGGGUUUUCAUGCAUAUCCUAACUAUUUACGUACUAUCAGAACACUUACCGCGCAUACUUACCGAAUUGGGCCCGUUGGCCUAUGAACCCAAUCUUUGGCCCAUUAAGCCCAAAUUAUCAAAAUGCACGAAAUCGCGCGUACUGCAGUUUAUUACUUUAGAUUACCAAAUAUACAAACCCAACUAUUUUACGAGCAUUCGCAUACUCACAAAUUCCCAAAAUACCGACUUUUCGGCAUUUUGGCUUUUCGGCUUUUGCCAAUUUAGUCUAUGAGAGGGUGUCAGUUACACACCUGUUUGCGACGAUAUGCUGACGAGAUCCACACACGAACCGCCUACAAUUGGAUUACUAACACGUUAAUCUAACUAUUCAAAUACAAACUACGUAUUAACCCCUUACAAUAUUCGGCCAACCACACCUACAGAUCAUAGUAAGCUUAUAAGAAAUUAAUAAGCAACUCAUUAACAAAUUUUUGUCAAUGUUUACCACAUAAUCAUAAUUUCACUACAAGCUGUCUUCCUGAGCAACAGUCACUAAAUUAUUUAUAACUGGAGCUACGAAACUCCAAAUCAAGUGCCGUUAAUUUUCCCUGAAAAUAGACUCAUAUAUAUUUUAUCCAUAAAAUUUUCAGAAUUUUUGGUAUGGCCAAUCAAUACCAGAUUUUUCUUAAAGUUUCCCAUGUUUCACUGUUUGACUAAUCUGACCACUCUUCAUUACGAAUCAAAUUUAUCAUUGUAAAGAAUUCAAAAUAUGUUCUCGUUUAUUCCAUUUGAAACUAGACUCAUUGAGCUUUAAUUACAUAAUUUAUGCAGCUUCUAACUCAUCUCCCACAAUUUAUGGUGAUUUUCCAAAGUCACGUUACUGCUGCUGUCCCAAGCAGAUUUAUUACCAAAUCACUCUUUCACACCUAACUUGCAUGCUUGUUAUUUAAACAUGUAUAUCACCAAUCAAUCAUCACAUAUCUAUGAUUUUACUUAAGUAUAAUCUCCAUUUCAUCAUUUUAAAGCACAACAUGUUAGCCGAUUUUUCCCUUUAGCAUCUAAGGCACAUGCAUGCUCAUUUGUUUGGCUUAACUUCACCUAUCUUCCAUUUUUCAUCAAAAGAACAUGAAACAACAACCAUUUCCUUCAUUUUAAUUCAUGACUAAAUGCUCACAACACAACUAAAAAUCAAAAUAUACUUCAAGAGUUAAGGUAGAAUCAAGAAGAACUCAUGAACCUCAAAAUAGAAGCAAGGUACCAAGAACUUACCUUCAAUUUUCCUCCUCCUAAUGACCGAAUACUCAAGAGCUUUCUCAUCUCCUUUCUCUUCUCUAACUUUCAGCUAUGAUGAACAAAGAUGGACAAAACUUUGUUCUUUUCGCCCCUUUUUCUUUUAAUAAAACUUCAUAUUUCAUCCAUUUAAUUCUUUAAUACAAAAGACAUGAAAUUCUUAU